rnacentral:lncRNA from 1 species
UUGUCAAAAUUUUAUGAAAAUUAAACGAGCCAAAUUAAUUUUAGUUGACGUGUUGGGUACCACCUUAAGAUUCUACUAAAAUGUGGCUUUGGAAGAAUAUACAUCAAACAAGAGAUAAAAUUGGAAUCUUAUUUAAGUAAUUUUAGCUAAUGAAGCUGUAUCCUUUAUAUUUGUAACCUAUGUUUAUCUGUAUGAAAAAUCUGAGAAAAUACUGCAAUGUUUAUUCAUAUACUAUAAACCAACUUAUUUUCGCGGAUACUUUAUUUCGCGUUUAUCUCACGGGGGGGUCUCAACAUGGGAUUUUGGGUACAGGUGUGCAGCUGGGAUUUUAAAAACACCCCCAUUCA